UACGGCCAUAUCGCGUUGAAACAACGGUUCUCGUACGGUCACCGAAGUUAAGCAAUGUUGAGCCUGGUCAGUACCUAGAUAGGUGAUUUUUGCGAAUACCAUGUGCUGUAAGC